rnacentral:lncRNA from 1 species
CAUGAGUUAUUUGCUUAUGUAAUGUUCUUUAUUUAUUAUAGAUUAAAUUCUAUAAAUGACAUUUUCAUUAUCAUUGUGAGAAAUCUUAGAUUUAAUAAGUUGAUCGAUCUUAAUUAUGUGGACUGAUUGAGGAAUUUAAAAAUUAUACUCACUCAAGAGAAGCUUUCUUAUAUACUUGAUGUCCCUGAACCACAAGAGGUUGGGGAUGAUGCCACUG